GACGAACGCUGGCGGCGUGCUUAACACAUGCAAGUCGAACGGUGAACCAGGGCUUGCUCUGGGGAUCAGUGGCGAACGGGUGAGUAACACGUGGGCAACCUGCCCCAGACUCUGGGAUAACCUCGGGAAACCGAUGCUAAUACCGGAUACGACCACUUCGGACAUCCGACGGUGGUGGAAAGUUUUUCGGUCUGGGAUGGGCCCGCGGCCUAUCAGCUAGUUGGUGGGGUAAUGGCCUACCAAGGCGACGACGGGUAGCCGGCCUGAGAGGGCGACCGGCCACACUGGAACUGAGACACGGUCCAGACUCCUACGGGAGGCAGCAGUGAGGAAUAUUGCACAAUGGGCGAAAGCCUGAUGCAGCGACGCCGCGUGAGGGACGACGGCCUCGGGUUGUAAACCGUCUUUCAGCAGGACGAAGCGAAAGUGACUGUACCUGCAGAAGAAGCACCGGCUAACUACGUGCCAGCAGCCGCGGUAAU
rnacentral:rRNA from 1 species